AUCUCAAGUUUUUUUUUUUUCCAUUAUGUAUAAAUCUUUUGCCUUUUAUUAAAGAUUUUCAUGGAGGUGAGCUUUUGUGAGUUUUUAUGUAUUUUUGGGGGUUCUGCUGCAAGCAGAGCU